AGUGAACGCUGGCGGUAGGCCUAACACAUGCAAGUCGAACGGCAGCACAGUAAGAGCUUGCUCUUACGGGUGGCGAGUGGCGGACGGGUGAGGAAUACAUCGGAAUCUACUUUUUCGUGGGGGAUAACGUAGGGAAACUUACGCUAAUACCGCAUACGACCUACGGGUGAAAGCAGGGGAUCUUCGGACCUUGCGCGAUUGAAUGAGCCGAUGUCGGAUUAGCUAGUUGGCGGGGUAAAGGCCCACCAAGGCGACGAUCCGUAGCUGGUCUGAGAGGAUGACCAGCAACACUGGAACUGAGCCCCGGCCCAGACUCCGCGGGGGGCCGACAGUGGGAAAUAUUGAAGAGGGGGCCCAGGCUGAACCCAGCCUUACCGGGGGGGGAAAAAAGGCUUUCGUGUUGAAAACCCUUUUUGUUGGAAAAAAAAACAAGAAGUUAAAUCCCCCCUUGUUCGGAGGUAACCAAAAAAAAAGACCCCGGCAAAUUUCGGC
rnacentral:rRNA from 1 species